AAUUUAAUGAUCUAAUAAUUAAAUUGAUUUAUUGCAUUCAAAAUACAUGUAUUUGUUUAUUGAGUUUCGAUUGUACAGUCAGUCCAUUGUUUACGGUUUGCCAUUUAAAUCUUUACAACAAUAUAUUUAAACAUACGAAAGAAUAUGCUUUGAAGCGCCUCGUGGACUUUUGUCAUAUAUAAACACGUGUUCCCGCUCAAUUUUCAUUCAAUGAUUAUUUCUCAACAGAAUUGCACAAGGACAGGACCAGAGCGUAAAUAAGAUAAGUUGUUUAAGUUUAUCCGUUAUACUUUAGAUAUGUUUCCUUUUAUUCAUUUUAAUUCACUUUAUAUUUAAAGAAAAAACCUUUUUUUUUUUUUUACCUGUGAGUUGAAAUUCUGUGACGAUAAAGUAAAACGGGUAACUUUAAAUUUAACACGUGUUCGCAUGUGUUCGUAUAAUUAUAUGUUUCUCGUCACGUUCAUUAUUAAAUUAUUGAAUUGUUUAAUGUCACUUGAAUUAGAUUUAUAUAUAUAUAUAUAUGCUUAUUUAUUACCAUUCAAUUUCAUUUACUUAUGGUUGUUGCAUUUAAUUCACAGUUCUUUAACAAGGUAUUUAUAUCGUUUUAAGUUUUUGUUUCUAUUUUACCAUAGUAGCAAUAAAUAUUCUCAUGUAUAAUUAGCUAUGGAAUACUUGUGUAAGCUUGCUGACAAAUAUACGCUUAGUUACAUUAUUUUAAUUUACGUUCUUUACCUGCAUAUAAUUCAGGUACUAAAUUGACACUGAAAUACCGGUUAUUCAACGGAAGGCCCGAUUAUUACAAAUAUGACGGCAUUUAUUUAAUUAUAAUACAACUGCUGUUUAGUUUGCUGCAUGUUAUUGUGCAUAUAAAGCUUUCUUUAAAUUUGAUUCAACAAAUGACACUGAUAUUAAUAUUAUACCUGUUAUCAUGUUAUGGAACGCACGAUUAUUACAAAUGUAAUGGCAUUUACAACUGCCGUUCAAAUUACUGCUGGUUAUUAUACACCUAUAGAUGUCUUAAGAGGCGUACAUUAUAUAAACAUUUAUAAUAGUAUAUAUUUUAGGUACGGGGCAUUUUAUCUAUAUGCAGCCGAGGCAUCAAUGUAAUGUUUCAUAAAUUAAAGCAUCUUUAUAUAUUUAUAAAAACAAUAUACUUAUAAUGACUUCAUUUUAUAAAAGAAUAGGAGAAGAAAUGAAGUAAGCCGGAGAUUAAGACCAAGGGUAAACAACGUUGGGGUUCAACGACCUGCUCAUCGUGAAGCACCAGCACCAGAACAGGUACCCGUCCCUGAGGAAGUUGUCCGAGUGGUUAACAGAGGAAGACACGGAAAAAGAAGGCGUGCAGCGCCCGAGCUUCAACAAGCAGAUCAACCUGUGGAGCCCAAUAAUCAACCUCCACCUCAGAAACAACUGAAAACUACGGCAGCUCAGGCUCAACCGGAUCACUUACAGUUAUAUACAAGUUGAUGUGGGCAGGAAUGUCCGGUAUGUCACUAUAUAAUUUUGUACCAAUAGUAGAGAAUGUGAAACAUGGUGGGGGUUUACCAGAUGCUGUUUUGCUCCACUGUGGUGGCAAUGAAAUUAGACUUGUAAACUGUGCAAAAACUUUUAUAUUAUAUUUAAUUUAUGCUAGAUAUAGUUGGACGUAUGGUGAAUGGAAGUUAAAAAAUUAUUUUUUCAAGCAUAUUACCAAGGUUGAAAUGAAGAUGUUCAAAAGAUUUAAGAGCAAUGGAUGGAACCAGGAAACGUAUUAAUAGGGGAAUUAAAUCACAUUUAAUUAAAACUGGGGGGUUACACUAUAAUUCAUUCUGAUUUUGAAGUCAAACUUUUAUUUUUGGUUAGUCAUGAUGGAGUAUAUUUAUCGUUUAUUGGCAAUGAUAUAGUUUUGAAUUCUUUUCAAACUGCUUUAGAACAGUUUGAUUAUAUACCAAAUAAUUCUGUUUAUCCGAUGCAUGAAUGAUGUUUGUUUAUAUUUGUUGUAUGUUAGAAUGAAUAACAACUAGUUGAUCAUAUUUUUGUUUAAUUUAUGCUGCUUAUUCAAUUGUCAUGGCGGAUUAGCAUUUGAUUGAGAGUUCACUAAAAUGCCAAUUUUGGCAGUGAUUUAUUCAAAUAUUGUUCAUUGAGCUGUUAUGGAUCUGCCCAGCAGCUAGAAAUUAUUAUGCAUUUACUGUUGGUUUUACCUUCAGUGACCAAUUGUCAUCAAGUUUUAACUUGUUGGCCAGUUUGUUGAUGUUGGUUGUUUGUUGGUUGAUAUUGUUGAAUAUUGUUGAAUAAAUGCCAUGACAAAUAAUAAGCCAAAUU